rnacentral:rRNA from 1 species
AGUAACGCGUGAGGAACCUGCCUCAAAGAGGGGACGAACAGUUGGAAACGACUGCUAAUACCGCAUAGGCCCACGGCUCGGCAUCGAGCAGAGGGAAAAGGAGUGAUCCGCUCUGAGAUGGCCUCGCGUCCGAUUAGCUAGUUGGUGAGGUAACGGCCCACCAAGGCAACGAUCGGUAGCCGGACUGAGAGGUUGAACGGCCACAUUGGGACUGAGACACGGCCCAG